GCCUGGGUAGCUUAGUGGUUAAAGCAAUCAUCUGGCAAGCGAAAGAUCCGGGUUCGAUUCCCGGUCCAGUCA
rnacentral:tRNA from 1 species